AACCCGCGAGGAAGGAGCGGAUAUGGCCGCGAAUAGGAACUUGAAGCAAGUGCGGAUCGAAAACAGCUCCCCGGCGGUGCCGCUGGGCAUGGUGGGGGGCGGCGGCGGCGGCAACCUGAAAGGAUUGCGCGGCCUAGAAGCGGAGAGUGAGGCGGCGGCGGCCAUGGCUCUGGUGCCGAGCAAAGAAGGCGGCGGAGAUGAGGAGCAGGAGGUUGGGUUCACCAUCGAUAUCAAGAGCUUUCUCAAACCUGGCGAGAAGAGCUACACGCAGCGUUGCCGGCUGUUCGUGGGGAAUCUGCCUACUGAUAUCACCGAGGAGGAUUUCAAGCGCCUUUUCGAGCGCUACGGGGAGCCCAGCGAGGUCUUCAUCAAUCGGGACCGUGGCUUCGGCUUCAUCCGCCUGGAAUCUAGAACCUUGGCUGAAAUAGCAAAGGCAGAACUUGAUGGUACUAUUUUGAAGAGCAGACCACUUCGAAUUCGAUUUGCUACCCAUGGAGCUGCCUUAACUGUGAAGAAUCUGUCGCCUGUGGUUUCCAAUGAGCUGCUGGAACAAGCAUUCUCGCAAUUCGGGCCAGUGGAAAGAGCGGUUGUUGUAGUAGAUGAUCGCGGCAGAGCUACAGGGAAAGGUUUUGUAGAGUUUGCAGCAAAACCUCCGGCACGGAAAGCUCUAGAAAGAUGCAGUGAUGGGGCAUUCUUGCUUACAACAACACCUCGACCUGUUGUUGUAGAACCGAUGGAGCAAUUUGAUGAUGAGGAUGGACUCCCUGAGAAGCUAAUGCAAAAAACACAACAGUACCACAAGGAAAGAGAACAGCCUCCACGCUUUGCUCAGCCUGGAACAUUUGAGUUUGAGUAUGCUUCGCGGUGGAAGGCUCUUGAUGAGAUGGAAAAGCAGCAGCGGGAACAGGUUGACAGGAACAUUAGAGAAGCCAAAGAGAAACUUGAGGCAGAAAUGGAAGCAGCUAGACAUGAGCAUCAGCUAAUGCUGAUGAGGCAAGAUCUCAUGCGUCGUCAGGAAGAAUUGAGGCGCUUGGAAGAGCUUCGAAACCAAGAACUUCAAAAACGCAAGCAGAUACAGCUGAGACAUGAAGAAGAGCACAGACGUCGGGAAGAGGAGAUGCUGCGCCAGAGGGAACAGGAGGAAUUACGACGACAGCAGGAGGGAGGAUUUAAGCCAAAUUUCAUGGACAAUGUUACUAUUAAAAUCUUAAAAAUGCAGAUGAAGACUGGCUUGUGCAGAAUCCUUCUGGUAUCUUAUGCAGACAAAAGAGAAUCCUAAACCAGGUUUUAGUACAAGGUUUCAAUGGAAGCUGCUGGUGGCUGCCCACCCCCAGAACUGAGGCUGUUACAUUGUGAUGAUGUGCAAAAUGCUGCUCUGCACCUUGGAGUUACAAGGACCAUCAGGAAGGGCCAGACCUAUGAGACCUGAAGGAAAAGGGCUGUUUGAAAUGACAAAAAAGAACACAAACAGCCUGGAGGUGGUGUCCCCCACCAAUACCUCAGCUUGGAAAAGACAUGAGAAGAAUGUGAAUACAUCUGCUCGUGAGCUCCAAGUCCUCUUCCUACAUGAGGAGACAAGUUACAGCUUUUGUGAUGUUACUGUCUUCAGCCUCUGGCACAGAAGGUGGUGCCAGUCCAGCAUUUCAUAGCAGAGCUGAUGUUGGCCUGCUUUGAUGUGUAACUGAGCAAUGCAGUGGACAUGAAUUGAAGACUUGACUGGAACCUCACACAGUUAAAUCCUGCAGUGGGAACUGAACUAAGCUGAUGGUGAAGCAGCUGGUGGUGAAGCAGCUUUGCAGAGGCUGAUACGGGGUCCUGAGGGACAAGUGAAGAUGAAGGUGUCCACUCCCAUGCUGGGCUCCAUUAGAAGAUCAUGGCUGAGCAGGGGCCAGAAGAGCAAUCUCUCAGUUCAGCACUUCUGAGACUGCAGCUGAAACACUGUGUCCAGUUCUGGGCUCUUGAAGACAAGAAGAUGUAGUAACAAACCCCAUGGAAGCCAUUGGGCAAUCAGAAGGCUGUGGAGCACAGGAGCCACAGGGCCAGGCAGCAGGGGUUCUUCCAGCUGGAGAACAGGAGGUAGGGGUGGUUAAGAGAUCCUGUUAACCUGGCUGUGUAAGAGAAGUGCAUAGAGAAGAUGGAGCCAGGCUCAUGGCAGUGGUACACAGUAUGGUGGCAGUUUUGUUCCAUUGUUUCAGUGCAUGGAAGUGGCACACCAUACCACUAAUAAAAACAGUACAAGGUA